AAGAGAGGUUGGGAAACAGAAAGAACUGCUAAUUCCUUUUAUUCAUGAUUCAACUUCAUGGCUCUCUUA
rnacentral:tRNA from 1 species